AACAAACGCUGGCGGCGUGCCUAACACAUGCAAGUCGUACGAGAAAGGGUCCUUCGGGGCCUGAGUAAAGUGGCGCACGGGUGAGUAACGCGUGGAUAAUCUGCCCUUCAGUUGGGAAUAACUCAUCGAAAGGUGGGCUAAUACCGAAUAACGCUGUGAGACCUCGGUUGAUCAGCCAAAGAGAGCCUCUGCCUGCAAGCCCUCGCUGAAGGAUGAGUCCGCGUACCAUUAGCUAGUUGGUAGGGUAAUGGCCUACCAAGGCGACGAUGGUUAGCUGGUCUGAGAGGAUGAUCAGCCACACUGGAACUGAGACACGGUCCAGACUCCUACGGGAGGCAGCAGUGAGGAAUCUUGCGCAAUGGGGGCAACCCUGACGCAGCAACGCCGCGUGAGUGAGGAAGGUCUUCGGAUCGUAAAGCUCUGUCGGAUGGAAAGAACCGCAUAGGGGUAAACAGCCCCUGUGUCUGACGGUACCAUCAAAGGAAGCACCGGCUAACUCCGUGCCAGCCGCCGCAGUAAUAC
rnacentral:rRNA from 1 species